rnacentral:rRNA from 1 species
CGGGGUAGGAGUAACGCGUGAGGAACCUGCCUCAAAGAGGGGACAACAGUUGGAAACGACUGCUAAUACCGCAUAAGCCCACGGCUCGGCAUCGAGCAGAAGGAAAAGGAGUGAUCCGCUUUGAGAUGGCCUCGCGUCCGAUUAGCUAGUUGGUGAGGUAACGGCCCACCAAGGCGACGAUCGGUAGCCGGACUGAGAGGUUGAAUGGCCACAUUGGGACUGAGACACGGCCCAG